rnacentral:rRNA from 1 species
CCUACAUGAAGCUGGAGUUACUAGUAAUCGCAGAUCAGAAUGCUGCGGUGAAUGCGUUCCCGGGUCUUGUACACACCGCCCGUCACACCACGGGAGUUGGAGACGCCCGAAGCCGAUUAUCUAACCUUUUGGAAGAAGUCGUCGAAGGUGGAAUCAAUAACUGGGGUGAAGUCGUAACAAGGUAGCCGUAUCGGAAGGUGCGGCUGGAUCACCUCCUUU